CAUUUUCGAUUUGCGAUUCCGUGAGCACACGGGGCGUGUGAGAGGGGCGGGCCAGACUGGUUCGAUGGGGCGCUCUGGGAGGGUGUUGGCUGCAGAUGUUAACCGAGACAGACAGUCGUGUUCUUAGUGGGCGGGCUGUCGGCCCCGGAAAGCAGGCGGAGUUGGUGGUUGUGAAAGGUGUUGUUUGUGCUUGGCAGGGAGUGGGCGCUUAGCAAAUAUUUGAUGAAGGAGUGGAUUUGUCUUCGCCUUAGCACACGGUUAAGUACACUGUAACUUCGCCGCAAAUCCGGUUAGGUAAUUUCCUUUUCCCACGAUACGUAGUCACCCCAGUUUUGUCUUCUUUACGUGCAAGCAUUUUCUCAAGCAUGAUUUUCACACCUUUAAACGUUAGUUUUGCCAAUUACACGAUGUGGAUGAGUCCGGUUUUUUUAACCUUUGAAAACGUACUGUAUGAUUCUUUUUUAAACUUCGAGUUAAAUUAGCCUUUUGGUCUGCAAGUGUGUAUGUUCAGGUUAUUCGCUACGGAUGAAUGGCACAGUAUUUGUCACCUUUAAAAAUCAGCGCAUCUUUAUCAUUCACUGAGGAAGCAAAGGAGGAAUAAAUACACAAAGUGACUCCCCAAGCCUAUACCCUCCGCAGGAUCAGACCCCCAACCCACUGUGCUAGACUUCUAACGCCAAAUAACUACCAUUUUUCUAGUUCCUAUUGUGUGUUUGGUACUGUGCUCCUCAGUCUACGUGAAGAAUUAUGCUUAAUCCUCCUGCCAUAUCUAGGAUAUAGAUAUUGUCAUCCAGGUUUGUGCAAUUUCAGGCCCCGCUGUGUCCUGAGGACACUAGGCUGGUACUGAGUUGAUAACAGCCCUUGUCAGAUAAUAUGUAUAGGGGAUAAUACUUAUACCCCCAGUUCAGAGUAAGAUUGAGAGUCGGAAUAAGCAUCUGGGGGAGGAAUACAGUACCAAGAAUAGUUUUUCAUACUUCAGAAUUUUGCCUAGAGACAGCAUAAUUUCCCUUGUCUCCAAUAGAUUUCUGGUUUUGUGCAAUAUCAACCUUAGAACAACUAUACAGAGUAUGCUAAGAGAGAAAUAAUCAAACGCCAAGGCCUAGAUUCCGCCUGACCAUGAGACAUAAGAUAUGUAAUGAAAGUGGGUCUGUAUGCAUGAUGCUUUGUGGCUAGCGAAUGUGAAUUAUUUCCCCCACGUCUAAUCAAACAAUUAAUUAGGCAUUAUGUAGCAGUAGCUUGUAUGUCUUUCAAAAGAUUGGAGUAAAAACACCAGGAGGGAAAAAGUAAUUAUGACUUAGUACUGUGGUCCAUAGUAUUUAUAUGCGGAGAGGUGUGAAAUCGGAGAGCAGAUAUCCUAACACACAUCCCUUCUUCAGGGAACCAAAGAGAAAUGAUACUCAGUAUGUGAUAAUAUGGUCCAUAUUAGCAGCACCAAAGGACAGCGUGAGAGGGCCUUAACCCUUACCCCCCAAACUCUGUUCAUCAGUCCAAAUCAUCUACCCUGAAUAACUGUUCCAUCUAAGUGAAAACAAGUUUUGCUAUUGAAAUUUACCUUCAAGCAAGAGCCCUAGUCCCCCAUUUCCAACCAGAAUGAGUCCCUAAGACCCUAGUUAGAAUUUUUUGAGCUAUCCAGUUAUCCACAUAAAAUUAAUGAACAGUCAUACAAAAAAGCUCUCAAACUAGGGGAGCAGUGAAGCACAUGGUUAAGAGCUUGGCUCUGGUGUCAGAGCUGGUGUAAAUGUUUCUGCCUUUGAUUAGUUAUGAGGCAAUGGUAAGACUUCUCUGUGCCUCAGUUUCCUCAGCUGCAACAUGGCAAGUGGAAUAAUUUUUCACAGGAUUGUUAUGAGGCUCACCUGAGACCAAGCAAGCUCUGAAUUCUAGACCAGCACAUUCAGGAAAUGGUGGCUCUAAUCUCAGUUUUCAUGACUACGCAAGAAUAAUAGAAGCAAUCACAAAUGCUGCAUAAACCUCUUAAACUAUGAAUGUAUUGUGUGCUGCUUCAGAGCUGGAGCUGAGGACUUGUUGAUUACCUCCCAUUUACCAAAUUACAGCAAAUUAGAUUGAACUGUGACUGGCAUGUGAACGACCUGAUGUUGGACAUGGAUGAGGAAUAUUGCUCUAUAAACCACAUCGCUGCCCGUUUCCCGUAGUUUCCAGCACGACUCGAAAGGCUCUCCACGAUCUGCUUCCAGCUGACUUUUCAAGGUGUCAUUCUUCCCGCGCUUUCCCCAUGUUCCUUGCAGAUCUGCGAGUGAUUACUGCUGUGUAAUCACCCACACAGUUCCCUCAGCCUGGAAUGCCCUUACCUUUCCAAUUCUGUGUGAAGAAAUCUUAUUAACUGCAGCAUCAUGUUGCUUCCUCCAGGAAGUCUCCCUGGAUUUCCCCAGGUAGAAUCAAUGUGUCAUUCUAUUGUGCAUCCUUAACCUCCACUGUUAAUAUAAAAACCAAACUCUUUGUAUUUAUACUUUACAUUUUGAGGGCAAAUAAUGGUCAUAUAAUACUGAAGCUAGAAGCUAUUAGAGAUAGUUAGAGCAACACAACAUAGGGUUUAAAGGCAUCAGCUUUAGGCUUGAAUCCUGGCUCAAAAACUUUAUAACCUUGGGUGAGUUACUUAACAUCUUGAACCUCAAUUUCCUCCUCUUGAAAAUGAGGUUGCUUUGAAGAUGAAAGGAGAUAAUCCAUAUAAAAUGUUUGCCCUGAUACCUGCCAUGUCGUAAUUGCUCAUUAAGGUUGGCCACUAUUAUCACAUGGUAGAUGCCCAAUUGGUGUUUGUUAAAUAAAUCUAUUCCCAAUUCCCAGUUUACAGAUGAAGAUAUUGAGAGGGCAAGGAAAAGGGACACUCGAGCUCACACUUGAGAUCCGUAACCAAUGCCUUUGUGCACCAGCAGCCGGGUGAGAGCUCUUUCUGCUCUAUCAACCUAAGGCGGGUAGAAGUCAUCUUGUCACUAGACUGCCACUUGUGGACGGGGACCUUGUCUGAUUCACCUCUGUCUGCCCCUUGCCUCUAAGCAUCGUGCCUUGCUUCUUGUAGAUUCUCGGUAAAUACUGAAUGCAAUUUAACUUAAGAAAGUUCCCAUCAGAAACAAGAAUAAAUUAGGAAAAUUCCUUUAAUCAGUGCAUAGAUUUGACUUUGCAGAAUUUUACUAAGCUCCAGAUAUGGCACAUGAUCAGGUGACAUUAAUAAAGAAAAGCUUAAAUUGAAUGUCAUUGCUUUUUUUUAGGUGACACAAACUGGCCACUUAAGCAUCAAGAUUUCGAGAUUAGAGUAAACAUUUCAUAUCCUACCAACUGAAAAGGAUAAAAAAUUCAGACACAUUAUUUUAAACCUGCAGUUGUACCCAUGGCAUUAAUCAUCAGUUUCAAAUUUGAUCAUGAAAGAUAAGCAAGUAUU